AUUGAACGCUGGCGGCAUGCUUUACACAUGCAAGUCGAACGGUAACAGGCCGCAAGGUGCUGACGAGUGGCGAACGGGUGAGUAAUGCAUCGGAACGUGCCCAGUCGUGGGGGAUAACGCAGCGAAAGCUGCGCUAAUACCGCAUACGAUCUAUGGAUGAAAGCGGGGGACCGUAAGGCCUCGCGCGAUUGGAGCGGCCGAUGUCAGAUUAGGUAGUUGGUGGGGUAAAGGCUCACCAAGCCAACGAUCUGUAGCUGGUCUGAGAGGACGACCAGCCACACUGGGACUGAGACACGGCCCAGACUCCUACGGGAGGCAGCAGUGGGGAAUUUUGGACAAUGGGCGCAAGCCUGAUCCAGCAAUGCCGCGUGCAGGAAGAAGGCCU
rnacentral:rRNA from 1 species